rnacentral:rRNA from 1 species
UAAGUCAGGGGUGAAAUCCCGAGGCUCAACCUCGGAACUGCCUUUGAAACUAGGUAGCUAGAAUCUUGGAGAGGUCAGUGGAAUUCCGAGUGUAGAGGUGAAAUUCGUAGAUAUUCGGAGGAACACCAGUGGCGAAGGCGGCUCACUGGUCCGGUACUGACGCUGAGGUGCGAAAGCGUGGGGAGCAAACAG